UACGAAGGGGGCUAGCGUUGCUCGGAAUCACUGGGCGUAAAGCGCACGUAGGCGGCUUUUUAAGUCAGAGGUGAAAUCCUGGAGCUCAACUCCAGAACUGCCUUUGAUACUGGAGAGCUUGAGUCCGGGAGAGGUGAGUGGAACUGCGAGUGUAGAGGUGAAAUUCGUAGAUAUUCGGAGGAACACCGGUGGCGAAGGCGGGUCUCUGGGCCGAUACUGACGCUGAGGAGCGAAAGCGUGGGGAGCGAACAGG
rnacentral:rRNA from 1 species